rnacentral:lncRNA from 1 species
AUAAGGCUACCCGAAGAAGAGAAGCAUCCAAAGAAGUCAAGACUCGGUAAGACUAGACAAAAUUGGCCCUUCAAAAAUCUUUGCUCCAUUCUCGUUACACGACAAUGAGCAAAGAGAAGCAGCUAUAACUGACCUAUUUUGCCCGGGCCCAAAUCAGACCAAAAAAACACAAAAAAAAAUAAAUAAAAAUCUCACAUAUUAACAGUCCAUCAGACCCGAAUUAUAAGCCCAAAAAAAUUAAAAACCCUAAUAGCCCAAAUAGCCCAACACCCCAAACACCUAACAGAAACCCUAGCCCCCCUUUUACGUUGCACCUAGCCUCUGACAACCACUGCCACUGCCG